UUUAAUGAGAGUUUGAUCCUGGCUCAGGACGAACGCUGGCGGCGUGCCUAAUACAUGCAAGUAGAACGCUGAGGUUUGGUGUUUACACUAGACUGAUGAGUUGCGAACGGGUGAGUAACGCGUAGGUAACCUGCCUCAUAGCGGGGGAUAACUAUUGGAAACGAUAGCUAAUACCGCAUAAGAGUAAUUAACACAUGUUAGUUAUUUAAAAGGAGCAAUUGCUUCACUGUGAGAUGGACCUGCGUUGUAUUAGCUAGUUGGUGAGGUAAAGGCUCACCAAGGCGACGAUACAUAGCCGACCUGAGAGGGUGAUCGGCCACACUGGGACUGAGACACGGCCCAGACUCCUACGGGAGGCAGCAGUAGGGAAUCUUCGGCAAUGGACGGAAGUCUGACCGAGCAACGCCGCGUGAGUGAAGAAGGUUUUCGGAUCG
rnacentral:rRNA from 1 species